AUUGAACGCUGGCGGCAGGCCUAACACAUGCAAGUCGAACGAGUGGCGGACGGGUGAGUAAUGUGGGGGAAAGUGCGAGAGGGAGGGGGAUAACUACUGGAAACGGUAGCUAACACCGCAUACUAUCAGGUGUGCCCAGAUGGGAUUAGCUAGUAGGUGGGGUAAAGGCUCACCUAGGCCACGAUCCCUAGCUGGUCUGAGAGGAUGACCAGCCACACUGGAACUGAGACACGGUCCAGACUCCUACGGGAGGCAGCAGUGGGGAAUAUUGCACAAUGGGCGCAAGCCUGAUGCAGCCAUGCCGCGUGUAUGAAGAAGGCCUUCGGGUUGUAAAGUACUUUCAGCGGGGAGGCGUUACCCGCAGAAGAAGCACCGGCUAACUCCGUGCCAGCAGCCGCGGUAAUUC
rnacentral:rRNA from 1 species